rfam:Mycobacterium abscessus strain PAP053 genome assembly, contig: ERS075544SCcontig000003
CGAGUUGGCCGGGCGGCCGCGGAUCACGAGAGAAAUCUCGCGGUUCGAGGAAAGUCCGGACUUCACAGAGCAGGGUGAUUGCUAACGGCAAUCCGAGGUGACUCGCGGGACAGUGCCACAGAAAACAGACCGCCACCACUCGUGGUGGUAAGGGUGAAACGGUGCGGUAAGAGCGCACCAGCGGACCGGGUGACCGGUUCGGCUCGGUAAACCCCACCCGAAGCAAGGCCAAAAGGCUGUGCGUGCACAGCUGCGGAAGUGUUCGAGGGCUGCUCGCCCGAGCUUCCGGGUAGGCCGCUCGAGGUACCCGGCGACGGUGUGCCCAGAUGGAUGGUCGCCGCCGCGUGGCCGCGGCUAGCCCGUGGCUGUGCGGAACAGGAUCCGGCUUACAGGCCAACUCGUUCG